rnacentral:rRNA from 1 species
GAUGAACGCUGGCGGCGUGCCUAAUACAUGCAAGUCGAGCGAACAGACGAGGAGCUUGCUCCUCUGACGUUAGCGGCGGACGGGCGAGUAACACGUGGAUAACCUACCUAUAAGACUGGGAUAACUUCGGGAAACCGGAGCUAAUACCGGAUAAUAUAUUGAACCGCAUGGUUCAAUAGUGAAAGACGGUUUUGCUGUCACUUAUAGACGGAUCCGCGCCGCAUUAGCUAGUUGGUAAGGUAACGGCUUACCAAGGCAACGAUGCGUAGCCGACCUGAGAGGGUGAUCGGCCACACUGGAACUGAGACACGGUCCAGACUCCUACGGGAGGCAGCAGUAGGGAAUCUUCCGCAAAGGGCGAAAGCCUGACGGAGCAACGCCGCGUGAGUGAUGAAGGUCUUCGGAUCGUAAAACUCUGUUAUUAGGGAAGAACAAAUGUGUAAGUAACUAUGCACGUCUUGACGGUACCUAAUCAGAAAGCCACGGCUAACUACGUG